rnacentral:lncRNA from 1 species
UUUGACUUCAAGAAAAGAUGAAGAAAUAACGUAGGAUAUUUCACAAACAUAGCAGAGUCAUCAGGGCUGGAUGACUAAGAAAGUAAGGAUCAAGAAAGAUGUAUAUUUGUGUAAUGGUGUUGUAAUUAUUACUUAAUAUGCCGAGUUACUGGGCAUAUUGCAAAGUACACUGGCACAUUGCCUAUAACUAGUCUGGGGUGGGUUAUCCUCUUGCCCUCACAACGUCUUCCCUGAGGUUUUUCUAUAAAAGCAGGGGCACCAAGAGCAGUAACCUCACCAACGACUCCCAUCGCUGCAGAAGGACUCAACCAGUGAAGAUCAACCUUCUAGACAUGGCUGCAGUGAGCUUUAAACUGGUGGUGGAGACUGCUGAUGGCAACAAGAAAGCUGAAUACAAACCUGCUUCGCACUGCCACCAGAAACUCGGUUGGGCGUUGAAUGAAUUUGAAGAUUCAGUCUCAGACUUCAGUGAGCUUUAAACUGGUGGUGGAGACUGCUAAUGGCAACAAGAAAGCUGAAUACAAACCUGCUUCGCACUGCCACCAGAAACUCGGUUGGGCGUUGAAUGAAUUUGAAGAUUCAGUCUCAGACUUCAGCUUCAAAACUGGAGGCAGAUUUGGAUUGCCAACUUAUUUGACCCGAGUGACUUUCGGUGAUAAUAUUGUGACCAAAACUGAGAACAGCUUCUGGCAAAUUCUGCUCAAAAACCACAACAUGAUCACACCUGUUGGUAAGCUGAGAGCACUACGACACACACACACACACACACACACACACACACACACACACACACACACACACACACACACACACACACACACACACACACACACACACACACACACACACACACACAUCUAUACAUAUGGUAAAUUUUUAUUGGCUGUUGAUAUUUAGAUGUGUUUAAUCUGGUUUCUCAGCACUAGACAACUACGUUGUCCAGGACAGUGACGUGAUCAUCCUGCGCUACAUGGCCUUGUGAUCCUGACUGUGGCGCCAUCUUCCUGCAGGGUCCUGAAUUACACUGAGUGCUGAUCGACUCUCCUUAAACAUGAUGAUCAUCUAGUCUGAAGAUAUCAAAUGAGAUUUGGAAGUGAAACAUAUGAAUUG